AGAUUGAACGCUGGCGGCAGGCCUAACACAUGCAAGUCGAGCGGUAGAGAGGUGCUUGCAUCUCUUGAGAGCGGCGGACGGGUGAGUAAUGCCUAGGAAUCUGCCUAGUGGUGGGGGAUAACGUUCGGAAACGGACGCUAAUACCGCAUACGUCCUACGGGAGAAAGCGGGGGACCUUCGGGCCUCGCGCCAUUAGAUGAGCCUAGGUCGGAUUAGCUAGUUGGUGAGGUAAUGGCUCACCAAGGCGACGAUCCGUAACUGGUCUGAGAGGAUGAUCAGUCACACUGGAACUGAGACACGGUCCAGACUCCUACGGGAGGCAGCAGUGGGGAAUAUUGGACAAUGGGCGAAAGCCUGAUCCAGCCAUGCCGCGUGUGUGAAGAAGGUCUUCGGAUUGUAAAGCACUUUAAGUGGAGGAAGGUUGUAACCUAAUACGUUGCAACUUUGACGUUACCGACAGAAUAAGCACCGGCUAACUUCGUGCCAGCAGCCG
rnacentral:rRNA from 1 species